GGUAAAAUGCCUGAAUUGAAAGGGUUAUCUUGAUAGGAUAAAUUAUGUAUAAAAAUGCUUUUACUA
rnacentral:tRNA from 1 species